rnacentral:rRNA from 1 species
AUACGGAGGGUGCAAGCGUUAAUCGGAAUUACUGGGCGUAAAGCGCGCGUAGGCGGUUUGAUAAGUCGGAUGUGAAAUCCCCGGGCUCAACCUGGGAAUUGCAUUCGAUACUGUCAGGCUAGAGGGUGGUAGAGGGAAGUGGAAUUUCCGGUGUAGCGGUGAAAUGCGUAGAUAUCGGAAGGAACACCAGUGGCGAAGGCGGCUUCCUGGACCAACACUGACGCUGAGGUGCGAAAGCGUGGGGAGCAAACAGGAUUAGAAACCCCAGUAGUCC